rnacentral:rRNA from 1 species
UACACUCCUACGGGAGGCAGCAGUGGGGAAUAUUGGACAAUGGGCGCAAGCCUGAUCCAGCCAUGCCGCGUGAGUGAUGAAGGCCCUAGGGUUGUAAAGCUCUUUCACCGGUGAAGAUAAUGACGGUAACCGGAGAAGAAGCCCCGGCUAACUUCGUGCCAGCAGCCGCGGUAAUACGAAGGGGGCUAGCGUUGUUCGGAUUUACUGGGCGUAAAGCGCACGUAGGCGGACUAUUAAGUCAGGGGUGAAAUCCCGGGGCUCAACCCCGGAACUGCCUUUGAUACUGGUAGUCUUGAGUUCGAAAGAGGUGAGUGGAAUUCCGAGUGUAGAGGUGAAAUUCGUAGAUAUUCGGAGGAACACCAGUGGCGAAGGCGGCUCACUGGCGCGAUACUGACGCUGAGGUGCGAAAGCGUGGGGAGCAAACAGGAUUAGAUACCCUUGUAGUCCCAUGAU